UACGUAGGUAGCAAGCGUUGUCCGGAAUUACUGGGUGUAAAGGGAGCGUAGGCGGGAGCGCAAGUUGAAUGUUAAAUCUAUCGGCUCAACCGGUAGCCGCGUUCAAAACUGCGUUUCUUGAGUGAAGUAGAGGUUGGCGGAAUUCCUAGUGUAGCGGUGAAAUGCGUAGAUAUUAGGAGGAACGCCAGUGGCGAAGGCGGCCAACUGGGCUUUUACUGACGCUGAGGCUCGAAAGCGUGGGGAGCAAACAGGAUUAGAUACCCUGGUAGUCCCUGAG
rnacentral:rRNA from 1 species